rfam:Enterococcus faecalis CH188 cont1.27, whole genome shotgun sequence.
UAUUACUUCCACUUGUAAUAUUCCUACCGGUACAUGCGUGAAAAGUAAUUUUUAGGUGUGAUAGCUACCGGGACAAUGUGGUAGAACAGUACUCACAACUGGUAAUACUGCUAGGAAAAGUGCACAUGGUUAACAUAAGUGAACUACUGCUGGG